GCCGAUGUAGCUCAGGAGGAAGAGCAAUUGCCUCGUAAGCAAUAGGUCGGAGGUGCAAAUCCUCUCAUCGGCU
rnacentral:tRNA from 1 species